AGAGUUUGAUCGUGGCUCAGGAUGAACGCUGGCGGUAUGCUUAACACAUGCAAGUCGAACGGUGUCUUCGGACACAGUGGCGGACGGGUGAGUAACGCGUGAGAAUCUGCCAUCAGGUCUGGGACAACCACUGGAAACGGUGGCUAAUACCGGAUGUGCCGAGAGGUGAAAGGUUAACUGCCUGAUGAUGAGCUCGCGUCUGAUUAGCUAGUUGGCAGUGUAAUGGACUACCAAGGCGACGAUCAGUAGCUGGUCUGAGAGGAUGAUCAGCCACACUGGGACUGAGACACGGCCCAGACUCCUACGGGAGGCAGCAGUGGGGAAUUUUCCGCAAUGGGCGAAAGCCUGACGGAGCAAUACCGCGUGAGGGAGGAAGGCUCUUGGGUCGUAAACCUCUUUUCUCAGGGAAGAACAAAAUGACGGUACCUGAGGAAUAAGCAUCGGCUAACUCCGUGCCAGCAGCCGCGGUAAUACGGAGGAUGCAAGCGUUAUCCGGAAUGAUUGGGCGUAAAGCGUCCGCAGGUGGCUAUGUAAGUCUGCUGUUAAAGCGUCUAGCUCAACUAGAUAAGAGCAGUGGAAACUACAAGGCUAGAGUGCGUUCGGGGCAGAGGGAAUUCCUGGUGUAGCGGUGAAAUGCGUAGAGAUCAGGAAGAACACCGGUGGCGAAGGCGCUCUGCUAGGCCGCAACUGACACUGAGGGACGAAAGCUAGGGGAGCGAAUGGGAUUAGAUACCCCAGUAGUCC
rnacentral:rRNA from 1 species